UACGGAGGGUGCAAGCGUUAUCCGGAUUUAUUGGGUUUAAAGGGUGCGUAGGCGGCUUUUUAAGUCAGUGGUGAAAGACAACAGCUCAACUGUUGCAGUGCCAUUGAUACUGAAGAGCUUGAGUACAGAUGAGGUAGGCGGAAUUUAUGGUGUAGCGGUGAAAUGCAUAGAUACCAUAAAGAACACCUAUUGCGAAGGCAGCUUAC
rnacentral:rRNA from 1 species